CCGCGCAAAGCGCGGACAAGAAGUGUCACUCUGCGCGUAGCGCCGAAAUUUUUGGGUUGACCACGCCCCCUUUUACAUGCCACGCCCAUUAAUUAACCACAUUCCCCUUCAACUAUAUAAUGUCUGAAAGAACACAAGGCAAAGCCAUUCUCAUGCUCUGGGAUAGUGAUUGCACUUUCUUCUCUUUCAGGAGAGCACCAAUUAAUGUCCAUUGGCUGAUCCUCAGCGGAAGAUCUCGUUGCUUGCUUCGAUGAACACGGAGGGGGCUGGUGGUUCCAGUGGAGAGAUAGUUGUGACUGGAGGAAAGAUGGUUGUGACUGGAGGAGAGACGUUGAUGACUGGAGGAGUGACGAUGGUGGCUGGUGGUUCUCUUGAAGAGGAGACUAGCUGUAGACUUGACGCAUCAUCUAGAUUAUUAUAUUAGUCAAUAUAAUUAUUAUAGCAAUUAUAAUUAAUCUAUACAGUGUCUAUCAUUCAGUAUGCAGUGCCAUGAACUCUCCCUUACCUGAAACUUUACUCCAGGAGUCAAUGGAGGGUUGCAAUCUAGCCUUUUGUUAGGAUUCAUGGCCAGGCUCAAUUAUCACUGCUACCAUGUGGCUGGAUGAGUCAAUAUAGCCAGCCCCACCCUCAUAUUAUGCAGAGAGUACCAGCUCCACCCUCACAUUAUGCAGAGAGGACUUUGUACCCUAUUGUCAUGACAGUAGUACAGUAUAAAGCUAGCUAGCUAGCUAGCUAGCCAGGUGUAUUAAAUAUAAAGUAUCAACUUAGUGGAAGGGUAGUUCGUACGAACCCAACGAACUACCUCUGGAUCCGCCACUGCAGGCCCUCGUAUUGCAGCUGAAGGAGGUCCUGUGUGGGGAGAAGAGAGGGCAGUGAAACACUUCAACUGGUGUAAGACAAAUGAAUACAUGUACUUACAUACACCGUACAAGCACAACACUAUAUACCUGACACAAGGCAGUAAUUUUUUUCUUCUCCUUGGUAAUGAUAGACACACACACACACACACACACACACAGUCAGCUUUACCGUAUCCCUCGUGCGGUAAUAAUAGACACACACGCACAGUCAGCUUUACGGUAUCCCUCGUGCGGCUACGCCUCGAGGCAUAACAAGGGCUUCUCCUUGAAUUGGAUAAAUGCUCACAUGCACAGUAAAUUGUCAAUGCAAGCAAUUUGCUAGUGAAAAUCAAAUUUAAUGUUCUGAUGCCUUUUGUUCAUAUAAUUAUGAGGAAGAUGAGCAAAUUAACGUUCACUUUAGCCCUCCCAAACAUCUUCUAAACAUCUUCAUGAUUGCCAGACCCUCGUAUUGCAGCUGAAGGAGGUCCUGUGUGGGGAGAAGAAAGGGCAGUGAAACACUUCAACUGGUAUAAGACAAAGAAUGCAUGUAUUCUACAUAACACAAAAUCAUAUUAGUACUCCCUUUAUUGCUCCCCUCACCUGGAAGACCAGCUCCACAUUCUCUAUCUGCCUGCCCAGGAAACGACCAGACACCUCAAACUUGCUCACAUCCACUGACCAGUUGCUCCGCCAUCUGACAGCUCACGUGAAUAUAUUUGCAACCGUGACGUCAUCAACAGCAACAAAAAUCACAAAGAAGCUCCGCUUGAUAGUGUUGUAGGUUAGUGGCAAUAGCUGAAGAUACAGUCCUAUAACUCAAGCUAUAAAGUCUGAUACUGGCUGCAUAGGUGUUGUAGCAACCACCAAGCCUUAAAUAAUGCCAUGCCUCUUAUUUUUGAAAGAGGUUGCACUGUUUUUGUUACAAAAAGCUACCACCAGCCCCCCUGGAAUUUUUACUGAGACGGCGCUUAUGGAAUAACGUCUAACUCAGGCUCUGAUUCGGACUGACUGGUUUGACUGUCACUCCCUGUAUUUUGUCCGAACACCCAGUCGACGAUGUCUUCCCCUUCUCUGUCUGUCAAUCUGCCUGCCUCCACAUCUUCUUCCAGAGAUAUAAUCCACACCGUCCAGUCAAACAACCUGUCGAACACUUGCAUCCUUUAAGGAGUGAGUUGACUCGAUCACGGACAGCCUGUACGUUGGUGGCAGUAUCCCAUUUAAUGGACAAACCUGACGAGUGAAAUCAAUCUUCAAGGAGGCUGCAAGGGUACGUGCUGGCUCACUUCGCCAGUUGCUUGGACUACUCAUAUUCCCACUGACGCCAUGGCACAACUCACAUACUCCGUUGUCUGCAACACUGUCACUGACUUCCCCAAAAGAAAGCUGCCUUCUAGUUUUUCGCUUACUAGCUAGACACUAUUUUACAAAUGUUUGUAUUAAUUUUUUAUAUCAUUA